UCGUCUUUUUCCUACCCAUCUGGAAAGCUUUGGUCCUUUCUUUUCCUUUUAUUUUUUCCUUUCCGUAAAAAAUGCUUCCCUUCUCGAUGUUUUUUUCUUGCAACAACAAAACUUCCAGUACCGCCAUCGUCUCCUCCACCACCCACUCUUAGGGAUUUCUGCUCCCACAAAAUCUCUUCCACACUCCUUCUCUGCGCUCCUAAACCCGCCGCUAUCACCAGAAAACGUACUACCACUGGAACUAGCGACAACACUGCCGCUACGACUCUUGCUUUUGAUUUCUGAUUUUGGGUUUUUUCUUAUAAAGGUUUUGAACAUCAAUUGGUUUCAGAAGCAACCAAAUGGGAGCGAUUCUCGAACUAUUUUGCUUUAGAAGGGACAAUUCUGCAAUAAAAUCUUUUGAAUUGUAGAUUUCUCAUUAUGAAUGAAACUGUCAUGCGAAACGAAAUAUAGACCCUUAGAGGAAGGGCUCGGAGAAAGAAAUUGUUGUCUCCAAAGGGCAUGGAUGUACGCCCAAUAAUGGAGGUUGUCAAAGGUGCUGCUUUUGGUAUAUUACAGUUGUAGAAUUGCUAUCAGAGGAUGAAAAUUCUCUACCUUUGACUUUGUAACCUCCCAAGUUACUCAGAAGAGAAUUUGGCAAAGCCAAGGGGGAUUCGUUAUUUAGUAAUGCAAUUGAUAUUAGGCUGUCGGAUUUCCAAAGAGAAAGAUUGAAGGCAUUGCUUCAACAAAGUGCGAUUAUCCUUACUGCAGAAUCUGAUAAGGAUUGGGAUGAUCCACUUUUUAGUGUAAUUUGAUGAACUUAUCGUCAACUAGGGGAGUACUUGAACAAGAGGCAUGCUUAGAUGCGUUGAUCUCUAUUAUAUUGGACUCAUCAACCGAUCAAAUGCUAUCGUUGUUCGAAACGCAAUGUACGUUAGGCUUACCAUAAUUUCUGUCGUGGUUGUGCCAAGGAGUAUGGUUUAUGUGCAAAGUGUUGUUGCUGUGUGAGCCAAACAAUUGGAAGAUUUGCUUCACAAAUAUUGAUGUUAUUUAAAUUACAAGUUAGAUUGUGUUGAAAAGGCUAUCAAGAACGCUCGAGAAAGGGACGGGACGUCUCUAUUUCGCACUUUGUGAAUUUUCAAGCACAAAUCCCUUCGCUCUUUGAGUCUAUUUCACUCUCAGUCUCUAACAUAUUGACUCUGAGAUCGUUUCAGCUUCUUCAAUCAGUGAAAUGACGCUUUUGCCCUCGAUUUACUGUUCUCUACUUCUUCUAGUGCAAGGGCGUUUUGGUCUUUCGGUGGCUUCUUGGGUUUUCCUUUUUGAUCUCGCAUUCGUUGUUUUGUGCCUUCGUCUUUGCGGAUUGUUCGUUGUGAUCUUGGUGGAAAAAAGGGGGAAGAAAAAGAUAAGAGUAGGGGUGUCAUAGAAAAGAGUUUUAACUCUUUUAUAGAAAAGAGUUUUAACUCUUUUAUAUUUUUCAGAUUAGAUUAGAUUAGAUAUACAAACAUAUUCACGUUUAUUACAGUUGCUAUAUUUGAGGUAUUAAUGUAGUUUUAGUAUUUAUGUUCUUUUUUUCAUUGUGGUCGC